rnacentral:rRNA from 1 species
CGGACGGGUGAGUAACGCGUGAGAAUUUGCCUUUAGGAGGGGGACAACAGACAGAAAUGACUGCUAAUACCCCAUAUGCUUUCGAGUAAAAUGGAUUUUUCCGCCUAAAGAGAAGCUUGCGGCUGAUUAGCUUGUUGGUAAGGUAAUGGCUUACCAAGGCGACGAUCAGUAUCUGGUUUGAGAGGAUGAUCAGACACACUGGAACUGAGACACGGUCCAGACUCCUACGGGAGGCAGCAGUGGGGAAUUUUCCGCAAUGGGCGAAAGCCUGACGGAGCAAUACCGCGUGAGGGAAGAAUGCCUAUGGGUUGUAAACCUCUUUUUUCAGGGAGGAAUCAAAUGACGUGUACCUGAAGAAUAAGCAUCGGCUAACUCCGUGCCAGCAGCCGCGGUAAGACGGAGGAUGCAAGUGUUAUCCGGAAUCACUGGGCGUAAAGCGUCUGUAGGUGGUUUAAUAAGUCAACUGUUAAAUCUUGAUGGCUCAACUUCAAAAUCGCAGUCGAAACUAUUAGACUAGAGUAUAGUAGAGGUAAAGGGAAUUUCCAGUGGAGCGGUGAAAUGCGUAGAUAUUGGAAAGAACACCGAUGGCGAAAGCACUUUACUGGGCUAUUACUAACACUCAGAGACGAAAGCUAGGGUAGCAAAUGGGAUUAGAUACCCCAGUAGUC